GAUGAAGAACGUAGCGAAAUGCGAUAAGUAAUGUGAAUUGCAGAAUUCAGUGAAUCAUCGAAUCUUUGAACGCACAUUGCGCCCCCUGGUAUUCCGGGGGGCAUGCCUGUUCGAGCGUCAUUUCACCACUCAAGCCUCGCUUGGUAUUGGGCAACGCGGUCCGCCGCGUGCCUCAAAUCGACCGGCUGGGUCUUCUGUCCCCUAAGCGUUGUGGGAACUAUUCGCUAAAGGGUGUUCGGGAGGCUACGCCGUAAAACAACCCCAUUUCUAAGGUUGACCUCGGAUCAGGUAGGGAUACCCGCUGAACUUAAGCAUAUCAAUAAGCGGAGGA
rnacentral:misc_RNA from 1 species